rnacentral:rRNA from 1 species
UGGGCGCUUACCACUUUGUGAUUCAUGACUGGGGUGAAGUAGUAACAAGGUAACCGUAGGGGAACCUGAGGUUGGAUCACCUCCUUACCUUAAAGAA